rnacentral:rRNA from 1 species
UGUCUCAGUUCGGAUUGGAGUCUGNAACCCGACUCCAUGAAGCUGGAUUCGCUAGUAAUCGCGCAUCAGCCACGGCGCGGUGAAUACGUUCCCGGGCCUUGUACACACCGCCCGUCAAGCCAUGGAAGCCGGGGGUGCCUGAAGUGCGCUGCCGCAAGGAGCGCCCUAGGGUAAAACCGGUGACUGGGGCUAAGUCGUAACAAGGUAAC